rnacentral:rRNA from 1 species
UACGUAGGGUGCAAGCGUUGUCCGGAAUUAUUGGGCGUAAAGAGCUCGUAGGCGGUCUGUCACGUCGGCUGUGAAAACCCGAGGCUCAACCUCGGGCCUGCAGUCGAUACGGGCAAACUAGAGUACUGCAGGGGAGACUGGAAUUCCUGGUGUAGCGGUGGAAUGCGCAGAUAUCAGGAGGAACACCGGUGGCGAAGGCGGGUCUCUGGGCAGUAACUGACGCUGGAGGAGCGAAAGCGUGGGGAGCAAACAGG